UACAGAGGUCUCAAGCGUUGUUCGGAUUCAUUGGGCGUAAAGGGUGCGUAGGUGGCGCGAUAAGUCGGGUGUGAAAUCUCGGAGCUUAACUCCGAAAUUGCAUUCGAUACUGCCGUGCUCGAGGACUGGAGAGGAGACUGGAAUUCAUGGUGUAGCAGUGAAAUGCGUAGAUAUCGGGAGGAACACCUGUGGCGAAGGCGGCCCCCUGGUUGGAUACUGACGCUGAUACGCGAAAGCGUGGGGAGCAAACAGG
rnacentral:rRNA from 1 species